rnacentral:tRNA from 2 species
GGCCCCGUGGCGCAACUGGAUAGCGCGUCGGCCUCCGAAGCCGAAGGUUGCUGGUUCGAAUCCAGCCGGGGUCAC